AUACUUACCUGGGCAGGGGAGAUACCAUGAUCAUGAAGGUGGUUCAACGCAGGGCGAGGCCUCCAGCCAUUGCACCCCCGGGGUUGUGCUGACCCCUGCGACUCUAAAUGUGGGAAUUCCCGACUGCAUAAUUUGUAGUAGUGGGGACUGCGUCCGCGCUCUCUCCU